CAGGAGAGGUCAAAGGUUACCAGUGCUCGGUCUGUACAGCAGCAUCAAGCAGAGCUGUUCAAGAAGGAGAGAGCAGAUUCCCCUGGACCCAGCUGUGUCUCCAUGAAGAGCAACUGGUCUAUGGAGCAUCCUCCUGACCUUAAAGAUGGACGCCCUUCCAGAGAGGAGAGGCGACCCCAGGAGAGGUCAAAGGUUACCAGUGCUCAGUCUGUACAGCAGCAUCAAGCAGA